rnacentral:rRNA from 1 species
AUUGAACGCUGGCGGCAUGCUUUACACAUGCAAGUCGAACGGUAACAGGCCGCAAGGUGCUGACGAGUGGCGAACGGGUGAGUAAUGCAUCGGAACGUGCCCAGUCGUGGGGGAUAACGCAGCGAAAGCUGCGCUAAUACCGCAUACGACCUAUGGAUGAAAGCGGGGGACCGAAAGGCCUCGCGCGAUUGGAGCGGCCGAUGUCAGAUUAGGUAGUUGGUGGGGUAAAGGCUCACCAAGCCAACGAUCUGUAGUUGGUCUGAAAGGACGACCAGCCACACUGGGACUGAGAAACGGCCCAGACUCCUACGGGAGGCAGCAGUGGGGAAUUUUGGACAAUGGGCGCAAGCCUGAUCCAGCAAUGCCGCGUGCAGGAAGAAGGCCUUCGGGUUGUGAACUGCUUUUGUACGGAACGAAACGGUCCUGGUUAAUACCUGGGGCUAAUGACGGUACCGUAAGAAUAAGUACCGGCUAACUACGUGCCAGCCGCCGCCGUAAAAC